rnacentral:rRNA from 1 species
UGGGGAAUAUUGGACAAUGGGCGCAAGCCUGAUCCAGCCAUGCCGCGUGAGUGAUGAAGGCCCUAGGGUUGUAAAGCUCUUUCACCGGUGAAGAUAAUGACGGUAACCGGAGAAGAAGCCCCGGCUAACUUCGUGCCAGCAGCCGCGGUAAUACGAAGGGGGCUAGCGUUGUUCGGAUUUACUGGGCGUAAAGCGCACGUAGGCGGACUUUUAAGUCAGGGGUGAAAUCCCGGGGCUCAACCCCGGAACUGCCUUUGAUACUGGAAGUCUUGAGUAUGGUAGAGGUGAGUGGAAUUCCGAGUGUAGAGGUGAAAUUCGUAGAUAUUCGGAGGAACACCAGUGGCGAAGGCGGCUCACUGGACCAUUACUGACGCUGAGGUGCGAAAGCGUGGGGAGCAUACAGG